rnacentral:tRNA from 1 species
CCUUUCGUAGCUCAGUAGUCAGAGCGGUGGUAUAUAAAGGCAAAGGUCCCGGGUUCGAAUCCCGGCGAGAGUA